rnacentral:rRNA from 1 species
UACGAAGGGGGCUAGCGCUGCUCGGAAUCACUGGGCGUAAAGGGUGCGUAGGCGGGUCUUUAAGUCAGGGGUGAAAUCCUGGAGCUCAACUCCAGAACUGCCUUUGAUACUGAGGAUCUUGAGUUCGGGAGAGGUGAGUGGAACUGCGAGUGUAGAGGUGAAAUUCGUAGAUAUUCGCAAGAACACCAGUGGCGAAGGCGGCUCACUGGCCCGAUACUGACGCUGAGGAGCGAAAGCGUGGGGAGCAAACAGG